GAUGGUGCCGGGGACAUGGUCCUAGAUGCAGGACAAUCAGUCUGCACCAGUCUGCUCUCUCCUACCAAGAGACACACUGUUAGUCAGACCUGAGGUGGGUAAUGGGUUUACAGAGAGAUCAACCUCAGCACAUACUGUGACUGAUAUGAUAGCUGUUUAAUAGAGCACUGGCUCCAUAGUAGAUUAAAUUAGAAAGUGAAAUGAUCAUUCAUUGCUAUUUCAGAGACCAUCAACCCAUCAUCUAUCUAUCUAUCCAUUGGGAAGACUGAACUAGAAUCUCGUAAAGGCUUGGCGCUAUUCCCAACAAAACUGAGAGGUAACAAUCUCAAAAGCAGAUGGAACCAAUUGAUCUGAGAUCUCCUUUUACUCUCUAUGAGAAAAAACCACCAUCAGCUGCCAUAAAAAAUUGCCAUAGUCAAGAGAGCAUGGCAGGGGCCCUUGUGCAUUUGUUUUCCUGAAGGUGUUGCAUGAGAAGGCCGUGGCCAUGAUCACUUCCUCGAUGCAGUCCUGCACCGAUUGUGUUUUAAGGCUCAUUAUGAAUUGCCAGACAUGGCAGGAUUGUGACUUGCUUGUAACCAACAGAAUGUGGCUGAAGUGACACUGCGUGGCUUCUGAGGCUAGGUGAGAAAAGAUAUUCAGCUUCCGCCUGUUCUUCCUAACACUGGUGCUGGAGCUCCAAGCAACCAUGCAAGAAGUUCAACUUUCCAGGCCAUACGAAGAGGCCAUGUGUGGGCUUUGCAGCCAACAGCCCUCAGCUGCCCGCCAUCUUGGAUAUCCAGUCCGGGUGAGCCUUAAGGUGACUGAGCUUUCAUCCUACUGCAAUUGCUUGGGAGACCUCAAGCAAUAACUGCUUGAACCCACCUCAAAUUCCUGACCUACAAGUUUUUGAGAAAAAAUGGAGUAACUGGGGCACUUCGUUAUGUAUGCAGUAGUAACCAGAACACGAGCUUAAAACAAAGAAACAAAUUUAGCGGCAUACUGUGAACUCUUCAGGUUCAUUCCUUUUCCUUCUGCCUUGUUUUAACGGUUUCAUAGCAUUUUUACUGUAUGUAAAUAAGAUGCUGUUUUUUAAAAUUAAUCCCUCAAUGUUGAAUAUUCAUUUACCUUCUGGCUAAAGCUUUCAGCUACCUCUUUGGACAUAUCUAUUAUUUCUUAAGAUAACUUAAUAAUAUUCAAAAUUAGAAGUGCCUAGUUAUUCUUUUUAGUGCCUUUAACAAAUACCUUCCAAUUAUCCUUUCCCAGUACAGUCUGCACACCUGCACGGACAAACACACACAUAUCCACACUCACAGGGAAUAGAGGAGGGAGCAUGGGUUUCAGAAUCAGUGGUCUUGAGUGUCACCUCACAGUUCCACAACUUGCACCACCUUGAGCCAGUUGCUUAAACUUUCUGAGCCUCAUUUUAACCAUCCGUAAACUGGAGAUAACAAUACUAACCUCAAAGGAGUUUUUAUGAAGAUUAAUUGAAAUACAGCAUUAAAGUGCCAAGCACAGACUGGCCUUUUACGAUGCUAACUGUCGUUCUUGCAGUGACCUCCCAAGAGUGAAGGAACCAUCUCUAGAUGUCUUUUUCCUACUCUUCCCCACCUACUGGGUGAUUCUGCUUCCUUUCUGGUACUGAGUCUGGCUCCUGUCCUUUGAGGCCUUACACACAGUUGAUCAGUCUUGCGAGGGCUACUCGCUAAAGAUGUUACUUCUCCCAGUUGGUGGAUGUGUGUUAAAAAGCGAUUCUUGCAAGCAGAGGUAUGUUGAAGACCAGUGAGUUGAGUCCCUGAUGCUAGGAUGCCUGGUACCUGAUGCUCAGAGGGAGCCGAUGUUCCCAGGGAGGAAGGCCGUCCUGUCAUCACACCCUUCAAACCACAUGCCUCAGGCAGUCCCAGUCGUGAGACGCCCAGUUCCUUAGGCAGCCUGCGUGGGACAGCUGGCCUGCCUGCUAAAUAAGAGAGAAGUGCGAAAACAAAAACAUGCAGACCGUUCUUUCACAUUAAGUUUGAAUUACUUUGGGGACAUACCACGUGAGCUCUGAGAAGUGUGUGAAAGGAAAAGUGGUCACAGAUGUGGAGCAGGACCUGGGUGGUGGCUCUCCCCGUCUCUGGGGCCCGCUGGCUCCGGGCGGCCGAGAGGGGCCGCUGUUCACAAACGCUGUCUGGAGCCUCGCAGCUGGUGGGAUUGUGGGCACGAGUGGUGUGAAGAUCUUCCGAGCCGUCUCCAUUUCUCUACCCAUUGUUUUAUUCUCUGUCAGUCCAGAAAUCUGGAUGAGUUGAGGACUAAAAAAGGAAAGCCUUUCUGCAUCUUCAGCUUUAUUGAAGCCUUUAUAUGGGAACCAGGCCUUGGUUUUGGAAAGAUGUUUACUUUCCAAAAAUUUAGACAGUCUUACUGUAAAUAUGUGAUUAUGCAGCAGCUGUAGAUCCUUCUUCAGAGACGGGGGGGAGG